UGGAAAUGAGCUGGAAGUCCACUGUGUUGUGUUCCUGGAAGUUACAAUCUGUAUAAGGACAGCAAAGAACUGACUUCAUUGACCAUUUUGUGUGUGUGUGUGUGUGUGUGUGUGUGUGUGUUUGGUGGAUGGCAUAAUAUUUCCAC